rnacentral:rRNA from 1 species
GAUUAACGCGAAGAACCUUACCUGGGCUAGAAAAUGCAGGAACCUGGUCGAAAGGUCGGGGUGCUCUUCGGAGAACCUGUAGUUAGGUGCUGCAUGGCUGUCGUCAGCUCGUGUCGUGAGAUGUUGGGUUAAGUCCCGCAACGAGCGCAACCCUUAUCCCUAGUUGCCAGCGAGUCAAGUCGGGCACUCUAGUGAAACCGCCCCGGAUAACGGGGAGGAAGGUGGGGAUGACGUCAAGUCCUCAUGGCCUUUAUGUCCAGGGCCACACACGUGCUACAAUGGUCGGUACAAACGGUCGCGAAGUCGCGAGGCGAAGCUAAUCCGAAAAAACCGACCUCAGUACGGAUAGGAGUCUGCAACUCGACUCCUUGAAGUCGGAAUCGCUAGUAAUCCCUGAUCAGCAGGCAGGGGUGAAUACGUUCCCGGGCCUUGUACACACCGAAUC